UGCAGAUUCAGGUGGGUUCAUGUUCUAGCAGAUAGUUGCAAUAAAAUUCAAGCACACUGUCGACAAUAAAUACUUCUUAUUGACCGAGUUUGAAAGAAGGACUAGUGGUGGGACGAAUCCGCCUUCACUUGCCCCCUACGAACUCCACUUCCUAUCUCUCUGAAAGACAAACCAAAGACGGAAAAGGAAGACCAAUUCCUCCGCGAAAUUCCAGCAGAUGUUUGUUUUCUCGUUCCCGGAUGAAUCCGCUCGUCAAUUGUCUACUUUCUGAGCCGGACACGGCCUCUGGAUCAUUCGGAAAAAACAUAUAGAUGACAGGCCAAAUUCUGAUUAUGAGCCUAAGCAAAUUGAAUAAACAGCAAUAAUUGGAAUGUGGAGGAUGCAAUGCCGAUAACAAAAAACAGAAACUGAGAAACAGAGUUAAUACUUAAUAGGCACAAUUUUGGAUAAAAUAGACCGCUGAUCGACCGACAAUAGAGGUCAACAAACAUGAAAGACCAAAUUUUAAGUUCACCGCAGGAAUAAUUAAGCUUGCAGAAUUUUAUAUGGCAAUAACCAAACGUAAGUUUGAAAUAUCGACUGAUUGAACUCUAUUCGGUGUUUCCUUCCUUAGAGGUAUUAAUAUUUUAGUGCAAAGUACUAGGAAUCCGGAGCUUUACUGAAGAGUCAUGAAACGCACCUUGACAUAAUGC
rnacentral:lncRNA from 1 species